rnacentral:rRNA from 1 species
UACAGAGGGGGCAAGCGUUGUUCGGAAUUACUGGGCGUAAAGGGCGCGUAGGCGGUUUCAUAAGUCAGUGGUGAAAUACGGCAGCUCAACUGUCGAGGUGCCAUUGAUACUGUGAGACUUGAGUACAGACGAGGUAGGCGGAAUUGACGGUGUAGCGGUGAAAUGCUUAGAUAUCGUCAAGAACACCGAUAGCGAAGGCAGCUUACUAGGCUGUAACUGACGCUGAGGCACGAAAGUGUGGGGAUCAAACAGG